rnacentral:lncRNA from 1 species
AAGGCUUCUGGUGCCCUUUAGGUCAGAUGCUUGACCGUGCUCUGUCAUGCCCAUCUGGGCACUACUGCCCCAUGGGAAGUCCUGCCCCACUUCUCUGUCCCUCAGGAUCAUUCCAGCCCAGAGAAAAACAGGCCAACUGCACUGUCUGUGAAGCAGGUUAUUAUUGUGAAAAUGGGCUUGAGAGGAAUGUUUCUCUCCUCCAACCAUGUCCAAAGGGACACUACUGCCCAUCAGGAACAGGUCUGUCAACCCAGUUCCCUUGCCCAGCUGGAACAUUCAAUCCCAGAGAAGGCAUGGAGAGCCCAGAGGACUGUGUUCCUUGUCCCCCAGGACAGUUUUGUCCAACCACAGGACUCUCAG